rnacentral:lncRNA from 1 species
CCAUGUCUGCCAUCUUCAACCUAGAGACAACAACGAAACCCUAGUCCCCAUAACCACUAGCAAUGCCGCCCACCACAUCCAAGCCAUACCAAACCUUCAGCUUCAUCUUCCUCACACAUUACACAAAAAACACAAACCCUAGAUGAACCUUUCUUUUUUAAGAAGACAAGAGCUGAACUCAAAUCGUCACUCCUCACAAACCCAUGGAUGCCUUCCUCGUCUUCCUGAGCUGAACGACCAGACGAUCCCACCCUGACCUCUCUUUGCGACCAGCUGCUCACAGUCGCCGACCACCACCAGCCCUUCAGCCGCCCAGCUCCACCCUAGUUCUGCCGCGACCAGACUCUCACCAAAAAUGACCCCUGAUCUUCAACAACAAUAGACACCGAACCACACAGCUUCACCUUCUUCAGAAACACACACACACAACCAUAGACGAAUAAGAUCGAAGGGGACAGAAAAUCGACGGGAAACAAUAUAAAAAAAAUUCCAGUUUUCUGCUUUUCAAAUCCGAAAAAUACACCCCAGUCUCUGAUUUUUUAUCUUCUCAUGGAGUGGACUUGAAUUCGAGAUCGGAGUUCCGUCGAGGUUGAUGCCGAGUCUAGUUUCCAUCCACGUUUCGUUGAGCUUAAAACAGUGAUACAAUUGCCUUUCAGCUAUAUUGGAGGUCUAUUCUUCCCUUUCCUCAUUGUUCUUUUACUGGAUAUCAUGAUAUUGCUAAUCCUAUUAAUUUGUUGUUAUCGUGUGUUUGUUGAUUGAGAUGAAUUGGUCUGGUUUUUGUUUUCAUUAAAUUGGAGAUUGAAUUAUUUGGCUUUGAAACUAAGUUUAGUUAUGCUUUAUUUGUGUGAAUCGAUAGGAGCAUGCUCAGGCCGACCACACUUGGGUAGGCAAGUCUUAGGAUUUUAUUAGUUUUGAUGCGAGAGGUUGUUCCCCUAGUUAAAUUUAUCCGGAGAAUACCCCGAAGGAUUUGUAUGUAUUUUAUUCCGGGGAAUACCCCGUAGUAUUCUGUAUUUGGAGGCCGAUAGUAGAGUUAGUAGUAUCUUUGUUUUUUUAUUUUUGUUUUUCUUUUAUUAGGUGGUGACGACCUCAAACCUCGUGUGUUAAAUUUUGCUUUUUCUGUAUUUUUCACCUCAACUUGAACAUUUUAAAAGCCGAUUAGAUCAAGUAUGCAACCGUACUAGUUACGGGACUUGGGGAGUGCCUAACACCUUCUUCUCGAGUCAAAUGAAACCCCUUACCAAAUCUCUGGUGUAGACUUAGUUUUGGAGUCUCAAGUGUUUUGAAAGGAAAAUUAUUUUUCGAAAAAACGGUGACCUGACACACCAAAAUCAAAUGUUAGGUGGCGACUCUGAGUUAUUUUCUUUUGAAUAUAAUUUUGUCACGUUCUAAUUGGAAAACCCUUUUUCAAGCCCUACAAAAUCUUUUUAUUUAUUAAGAAGGUUAAGUGAGGUUUGGUAAAAAAAAGAGGUGUGACACUUAUGUGCUUUUCUUGUUAUACUAAUAGCGGCAGAUCUAUUAGUAAACAGGAGCCGCUAUCGCUCACCCGACUGAAAUCUGACGGAUAGAUAGCUAUUCUAUAAAAAAUCAAGACAAAAAGAAAGCAAGAAAAGGAUAGCAAUUGCUUUGGGAACGUUACAGGGGAGGAAGAUAGAACGGUAACCUAUGACACCGAGGUGAGAAGAGUUGAGAACAAAGUGGCGAUUGGGUGCGUAACGCAUGGGAAUCUGUCCGCCCGGUGCACAAAGCAUCUCGCAUUUACGUAAGAUUUAUAAAAAUGCCGCAUUUCAAGAGAUGUAAUGAAUAUUAGUGACUAUUUUUACGGCUCGAACCCGUAACUUAUAGUUCACACGAAAAUAAUUUUACAUUGCUCGAAAGCU